rnacentral:rRNA from 1 species
GCACGUAGUUAGCCGGUGCUUAUUCUUCAGGUACCGUCAUAGCAUUCCGUAUUAGGAAACACCGUUUCUUCCCUGACAAAAGAGCUUUACAACCCGAAGGCCUUCUUCACUCACGCGGCAUUGCUGGAUCAGGGUUGCCCCCAUUGUCCAAAAUUCCCCA